CAAAUGAAAAAGUGUUCAACAUCAAACUUGUUCCCCUUGAUCUAAGCUUUUUAAAGAACCUAAGUUCAUGCAUUUUGGACAGGAAUUGAUAGGGUUGCAUAUGGCUUUAACAGGGAUGCAUCAUUGUAAAGAAUCAAAUGUACAAACUUCAUUUCGCAUUGCCUUGCCAUUCAAGCUUCAUUCAGACUUCAACAUGAAUCAUUUUGGACCUUAAUGCAUUGCAUCAUGGGCCUAUACAUGCCCAUGCACU
rnacentral:lncRNA from 1 species